rnacentral:misc_RNA from 1 species
AGUAAGUUAUUGCCAGGGUUUUUAUUUUGUACUUUAAACCUUAAAUUUAUUUUUUAUAUUUUUUUAAUGUUCAUGUUUUUGAAUGUUUUAUUCAAAUAAUGUAAAAAAUAAAAUAGAUAUUGACAUGGAUUGAACAAAAGAUAUAUAUUAUUUUAUGUUGCAUAAACAAAUUGGCAAAAUAGAGAUGGAAGAUAAAAAUAUGGUCAAAGUAAUAAGAGU